UCAUUUUUUUCUUGUGAUGUUUUAUUUUCUGAAAUAUAGCCAAUUCCACUUGUUAACAUGGAAAACACGACAUGUGUCAAUAACUCUCAACAUCCGAGUUAAUUCUGAUUUAUUUGGAUCAUUUUCCCUUUUUUUUAACAAUUACGAACUUUUGUCAUGAGGAAAGGUUUGUUUUCUACUCUGAACAUCUGAGUCCGUUCCCCAGCUUUAUUUUAUAACAAACCUUUGUCAUGAGGUAAGGUUUGUUUUCUACUCUGAGUCCGUUCCCCACCUUUAUUUUAUAACAAACCUUUGUCAUGAGGAAAGGUUUGUUUUCUACUCUGAGUCCGUUCCCCAGCUUUAUUUUAUAACACACCUUUGUCAUGAGGAAAGGUUUGUUUUCUACUCUGAGUCCGUUCCCCAGCUUUAUUUUAUAACAAACCUUUGUCAUGAGGAAAGGUUUGUUUUCUACUCUGAGUCCGUUCCCCAGCUUUAUUUUAUAACAAACCUUUGUCAUGAGGAAAGGUUUGUUUUCUACUCUGAGUCCGUUCCCCAGCUUUAUUUUAUAACAAACCUUUGUCAUGAGGAAAGGUUUGUUUUCUACUCUGAGUCCGUUCCCCAGCUUUAUUUUAUAACAAACCUUUGUCAUGAGGAAAGGUUUGUUUUCUACUCUGAGUCCGUUCCCCAGCUUUAUUUGGAUCAUUUUUGCUUUUUUUCCCCAACCACGAACUGCUGUCAUGAAGAACGGUUUGUAUUCUACUCUGAACAUCUGAGUCCGUUCUCCAUGUUUAUUUGGAUCAUUUUCCUUUUUUCUACCAAUCACGAACUUAAUUUUGUCACGAGGAAAGUUCUGUUUUCUACUCUGAACAUCUGAAGCGUUCCCCAUCUUUAUUUGGAUCAUUUUUUUCUGGUUUUUUUUAUCAAUCACGAACUUCUGUCACGAGGAAAGGUUUGUUUUCUAAUCUGAACAUCUCUUUUUUUUUGGAUCAGGUUCGUUAUUGUUUAUAACAAUCAUUGUCCUUUUUCAUUAAGAAUAUGAAACACUUAUGAACCACAUCAACAAACGACAACACUGAACAUCAGGUUCCUGACUUGGGACAGGUGCAAACAAAUGCAGCGGGUUUAAACGUUUUAAUAGGUACCAACAUUCACCUUUACCUGAAACAAAAGUGUAACAUCACAACAUAGAAAGCAAACAAAGGUUUGUUUUCUAUUCUGAACAUCUGAGUCCGUUCUCAGUCUUUAUUAGGACCAUGUUCCUUAUUGUUUCAAUCUUUCAUGGUCCUUUGUCAUGAAUCACGGUUUGUUUUCAACUUUGAACAUCUGAGUCCGUUCUCAGUCUUUAUUAGGACCAUGUUCCUUAUUGUUUCAAUCUUUCAUGGUCCUUUGUCAUGAAUCACGGUUUGUUUUCAACUUUGAACAUCUUAGUCCGUUCUCAGUCUAUAUUAGGAUCAUUCUAUCUUUUGUUUCUAUCGAUUGUGGUCUUGUCAUGAAGACAUUUUAUUUUCCCAUGUCAUGCGGUUAAAGCAUUAUCAAUGGUUUAAAUAUAUGAGAAUUAUCGAUGGUAUUAAUUGAGCGACAACUAUCUGUCUGUCAUUUUAUCACCACUUCAGUUUAAGAUACAUUACCUAAUGUCUAAAUGCUUUUUCUGUGUCAACCAUUAACAAAAGUGUUUUGAAAAUACCAAUUAUCUGGUGUUUUUUUGCAUAAUAAUACUGUUAAUUAUUCAAGUCACAAGAAGAAGUUGAAAUUGAUGGAAGAAAAUAACAAAUGUUUGGGUCGAGAAUUUUCAUGAUUGAAAAUUUUUUUUCUAGAGGUAAUUUGUGUGUAAACUGGAACACUGACUCACAAACUUUUCAUAAAAUUCCGAAGUAUUAACCUGCCAGUUUAUACGUCAAUACCCUCUAGAAAACAUAUUAUUAAUUCUGUAAUAGCAAAAUGUCUUGAUAAUUGAUUUUCGGAUUGUGUUAGUGUGUUUUUCGUGAUUUCAACUGCAAACCGGUUUAAACAUUAUGAAGUUGAAUGUAUUUCCGGGUAAAUCCCAAGUUUGUGUAGACGUUUCUAUUUAUAUUCGAACAUAGAGAGGUCCCUAUCAAUCUUUAUACAUAAAAUCCAUGUUUGUCCAUACGUAAGAUAAAGGUUAUUAUUCAAAACUGUACCAGAUCAACGCUUAAUCAACGCAACAAAUAACAAACUAUUGGAAAACUAGAACAUUCAAAUAGAUUAUUCGACAAUUAAAUAACUGGUAUGAUCAAAUGAAACGUCUAUACUUUCUUCUAUGGAACGCCAUGACUGCCUUAUGUUGAUGAUCAUCAUUAUAUGCAGUGGUCACAGCAUUAUAUGCAGUGGUCACAGCAUUAAAUGCAGCCGUGACAGCAUUAUAUGCAGUGGUCACAAAAUUAUAUGCAGUUGUUACAACAUUAUAUGCAGUGGUCACACCAUUAUAUACAGUCGUGGCAAUAUUAUAUGCAGUGG